rnacentral:rRNA from 1 species
AAGUCUAUUGUUAUUAUUCAUAUUAAUUUUUAAAGGUUUUUAAAUUUUAUGCUAGUUUAUUUUAAAAAUAAGUAUUCGUCAUAUUUUAGGAAUAGAUAAUAAUAAUUUAUAAUUUUGAUUAGAUAUAUUUGUUAAUGCUAUGCAAUGGGUGUGGAAAUAUUUUUAAAAUUUAAUAAAAAUAUUAUUACAAUAAAUUACAUUUACAUAUUAGUCAGAAAUGGAUGCCAGCCGUUGCGGUAAUUUCUAUGCUUUUAAAUAUUAUACAUUUAUCAUAAAAUAUUGUUAUUUUUAUACUUUAACAAAAAAAUAAAAACACAUAUCUUUUUUGUUUUUAAACACCUUUUGGUAUAUGCAAAUACAAAAUUAUAGUAAUUAUAUAUUAUAUUAUAUUAUAUUUAUUCAUAUAAUUAAUGCAUAAAGAGUAAUUAAAUUUGAUACCAUGCUAAGGCGAAAAUAUUGAAAUUGUAAAUGUUAUAAUCAAAAGUUAUUAUUUAUAUAAAAUUUUAAAUUGUAGAUAAAAUAAUAAAUUCAAAAGGUAUUGUUGCCCACCAAUUUUUAUAAUAAAAAUAACGUGCAGUAAUUAAUAUAUUUAUAAAAAUAUAUUUU